CUUGGUCGAAAGGUGGGUACAGUGACUUGAAGAACAUUGGUCGUUCAGCUAAACGGCAAAAAAACAAGAAGGGAGCAUAUAAAUACCCACAUCAGAUUCAAGCUUCUGUGAAAAAGCUGCAGCGAUAGAGGACACAACAAGAGGGAAAGUUCCGCCAACAAGGCUCAACUACAAGGAGCUUGCAGAGCUAAGUCCACUCCUGUUUCCUGAUUAAGAGGUGAUAACCACUACCAUUCUCAACUAUCUCCUGACAUGAACUGAAGCCACAUCUCAUGUGCCCACUCAUCCACCGGCACAUUGAAUGUUUCCUCCCCAAGCAUUUCAAAUCCUGUCCUGCACUGGUCAAGCCUCUGAACACCUCAACUCAUGCC